rnacentral:lncRNA from 1 species
UACAAACUNCGUUCCUGUUUCUUUUGGCUAAUGUUACAUUACAGGGGAUGCUUAAUUGUUCUAAUAUUACCUGUUAUUUGUCUGAGUGUUGGAAUGGCUCCUGGACUAUGGCAAUGGUUAUGAAAUUUCCAACCUUUGUCCCGAUCCCAGUUACUGCAGAUCCAGAAUCCUUUCCUAUUGUUGAACUGAUUAGAGCCCGUAGAGAUUUUGGAAUUACGGCAGCUAUAGUGACAGCUGUGGUGGUGUCUGCUGCUGCAGCAGUUACAGCUGGAGUAGCCAUGGCCAGCCAGGUUCAAACUGCUGCCACUAUUAAUCAGGUUAUUCAACAAACAUCCACCAUACUUGAAUCUCAAAAUUCAAUUAAUCAACAUAUUUUGUCAGGGAUUUUAGCUGCCAACCAAAGAAUAGAUUUACUCCAAGCUCAGGUAGAAGAAUUGGCCGACUUGGUGCUUUUGGGUUGUGUUGAUCAACGUGCACAUUUAUGUAUAACCUCUGUCAGAUUUUUUGAUUCCAGAAAUGCCUCCCACAUCAUCGGGGAGUAUCCAUCCGAAACCUGGUCCAUGGAAGCAGAAAACAUGAUCCAGUCUCAACUAACCCAGAUAGCUGUCUUGAACAGUACCCGUGUCGAUCCUGUGACUUUGGGUCAAUUCACCGAUUGGAUAUCUUCUGCUUUUUCCUUCUUCAAAGAGUGGGUGGGGGUAGGCAUUUUUGGGGCAAUGUGUUGCUUCAGUGUUGUACUCUGUUUGUGGCUUCUCUGUCGCCUUAAGGCCCGCAGUGCUCACGAUAAGGCUAUGAUCAUACAAGCUCUUGCAGCUUUAGAAAAUGGCAACUCGCCUCAAGUCUGGCUUGCGCAUCUUAAGCAGUAAACCUUUGUCAUGGUCGUUACACCCCAAGUUAUUAUAACAUUGCACUGGGNAGUAUCUAUCCGGAACCUGGUCCAUGGAAGCAGAAAACUUGAUCCAGUCUCAACUAACUCAGAUUGCUGUUUUGAAUAGUACCCGUGUCGAACCAGUGACUUUGGGUCAAUUCACCGAUUGGAUAUCUUCUGCUUUUUCCUUCUUCAAAGAGUGGGUGGGAGUAGGCAUUUUUGGUGCAAUGUGUUGCUUCAGUGUUGUGCUCUGUUUGUGGCUUCUCUGUCGCCUUAAAACUCGCCAUGCACAAGAAAAGGCUAUGAUCAUACAAGCUCUUGCAGCUUUAGAAAAUGGCAACUCGCCUCAAGUCUGGCUUGCGCAUCUUAAGCAGUAAACCUUUGUCAUGGUCGUUACACCCCAAGUUAUUAUAACAUUGCACUGGGAUCGACAUGACUUUC